rnacentral:lncRNA from 1 species
AGCCGCGGGGAGCGAGGAGCGCGCGGAGCCGGCCAUGGGCAAGUCAGAAUCUCUACAGAGCCUCCAGCGGUAGAGGCCUGGCCUCCAGAAGGAACUUCGAGAACCCAGUGCAGCCCCACCUAGGACACCUAUACCCUCCACCCCAGCAGAGACAGCCCAGCCCCUUCCCUCAGCCCUGGGGAGCCAGGCCCAGGGCUUUUAGCAGCUCUGACCUUUAUUUUAAGUCCCAAGUCUGGCCCCCUGGUAACCUGCACUCUGCAGUCCCUGAUAUCCCCCUGGGGUCCCUCAGCCAGGUAUGCUGGAAAAGCGCUUGGCACAGAGGAGGCUCUUGAGAAGCCUUCGUUCUUCUCUUCUCUUCCUUCCUCUCCUUUGUUCACUUCAGAGAUCUGAAGUCAGCUGCCACCCCUGUCUAUUUUCUUCUACUGCUUUCCUCAGCUGUCCUUGAGCCUGAUCCCCCUCCCAGGCCUCCUCAGUCACCCGCUGCCUCUUUCCAUCAUUCCCUUUGUCGCCUGUGACCCUGAGGAGGGGUGGGGGCUUAGGACAGGGCUUUGCAUAGGAUCUGGACUAGUUGUGGGAAUUUGGGCAGGUAACUUCCCUUCUCAAGCCUCAGUUUCCUAAUUCGAAAAGAAAAAACAUGGGUAAGGUCAUGGCAGCUCCCACAGAAGAUGGCGAGAAAUAAGAUCAUGCGUAGGCCCAGCACAUGGCCAGAGCAGGAGAAAGCAGGCCCGGGAUGGGUGAGCCUGCGUCUUCCUCAUUCCUCAGGGUUGGCACUCUGAGGCCGUGUGGACUUUCC